rnacentral:rRNA from 1 species
AUUGAACGCUGGCGGCAUGCCUAACACAUGCAAGUCGAGCGGAUGAAGGGAGCGUGCUCCUGGAUUCAGCUGCGGACGGGUGAGUAAGGCCUAGGAAUCUGCCUGGUAUUUGGGGAUAACGUCCGGUAACGGGCGCUAAUACCGCAUACGUCCAUAUGUAGAAAGGGGGGGUUCUUCGGAGCUCACGCGAUCAGAUGAGCCUAGGUCGGAUUAGCUAGUUGGUGGGGUAAAGGCUUACCAAGGCGACGAUCCGUAACUGGUCUGAGAGGAUGAUCAGUCACACUGGAACUGAGACACGGUCCAGACUCCUACGGGAGGCAGCAGUGGGGAAUAUUGGACAAUGGGCGAAAGCCUGAUCCAGCCAUGCCGCGUGUGUGAAGAAGGUCUUCGGAUUGUAAAGCACUUUAAGUUGGGAGGAAGGGCAGUAAGUUAAUACCUUGCUGUUUUGACGUUACCAACAGAAUAAGCAACGGCUAACUUCGUG